GAUGAACGCUGGCGGCGUGCCUAAUACAUGCAAGUCGAGCGAAUGGAUUAAGAGCUUGCUCUUAUGAAGUUAGCGGCGGACGGGUGAGUAACACGUGGGUAACCUGCCCAUAAGACUGGGAUAACUCCGGGAAACCGGGGCUAAUACCGGAUAACAUUUUGAACCGCAUGGUUCGAAAUUGAAAGGCGGCUUCGGCUGUCACUUAUGGAUGGACCCGCGUCGCAUUAGCUAGUUGGUGAGGUAACGGCUCACCAAGGCAACGAGGCGUAGCCGACCUGAGAGGGUGAGCGGCCACACUGGGACUGAGACACGGCCCAGACUCCUACGGGAGGCAGCAGUAGGGAAUCUUCCGCAAGGGACGAAAGUCUGACGGAGCAACGCCGCGUGAGUGAUGAAGGCUUUCGGGUCGUAAAACUCUGUUGUUAGGGAAGAACAAGUGCUAGUUGAAUAAGCUGGCACCUUGACGGUACCUGACCAGAAAGCCACGGCUAACUACGUGCCAGCAGCCGCCGUAA
rnacentral:rRNA from 1 species